CUAGCGAAGUGGCUGAUACCCUGCUUCCAGGAAAAGUCUCUAAGCUUCAGUUACACAGGAAUCGUACCCGAAACCGACACAGGUGGUCAGGUCGAGUAGACCAAAGCGCUUGAGAGAACUCUGCUGAAGGAACUAGGCAAAAUGGUACCGUAACUUCGGGAGAAGGUACGCUGUUGACGGUGAUAGGAUUUACUCCUUGAGCGGUUGACAGCCUCAGAAACCAGGCCCCUGCAACUGUUUAUUAAAAACAUAGCACUCUGCAAACACGAAAGUGGACGUAUAGGGUGUGAUGCCUGCCCGGUGCUGGAAGGUUAAUUGAUGGGGUUAGCGUAAGCGAAGCUCUUGAUCGAAGCCCCAGUAAACGGCGGCCGUAACUAUAACGGUCCUAAGGUAGCGAAAUUCCUUGUCGGGUAAGUUCCGACCUGCACGAAUGGCAUAAUGAUGGGGGCGCUGUCUCCAGCAGAGACUCAGUGAAAUCGAAAUCGCCGUGAAGAUGCGGUGUACCCGCGGCUAGACGGAAAGACCCCGUGAACCUUUACUGCAGCUUGACAUUGAACUUUGAUCUUACUUGUGUAGGAUAGGUGGGAGGCUCGAAGUAGCGACGCUAGUUGCUAUGGAGCCAUCCUUGAAAUACCACCCUGGUAAUAUUGAGGUUCUAACUCUGUCCCGUUAUCCGGGACGAGGACCAUGUCUGGUGGGUAGUUUGACUGGGGCGGUCUCCUCCUAAAGAGUAACGGAGGACUACGAAGGUGCGCUCAGCGUGGUCGGAAAUCACGCGUAGAGUAUAAAGGCAAAAGCGCGCUUAACUGCGAGACCAACAAGUCGAGCAGGUACGAAAGUAGGUCUUAGUGAUCCGGUGGUUCUGUAUGGAAGGGCCAUCGCUCAACGGAUAAAAGGUACUCUGGGGAUAACAGGCUGAUACCGCCCAAGAGUUCAUAUCGACGGCGGUGUUUGGCACCUCGAUGUCGGCUCAUCUCAUCCUGGGGCUGAAGCAGGUCCCAAGGGUAUGGCUGUUCGCCACAUAAAGAGGUACGCGAGCUGGGUUUAGAACGUCGUGAGACAGUUCGGUCCCUAUCUACCGUGGGCGCUGGAAAUUUGAGAGGAUCUGCUCCUAGUACGAGAGGACCAGAGUGGACGAACCUCUGGUGUACCGGUUGUGACGCCAGUCGCAUCGCCGGGUAGCUAUGUUCGGAAGGGAUAACCGCUGAAAGCAUCUAAGCGGGAAGCCUACCUCAAGAUAAGAUUUCCCAAGGACUUUAUGUCCUCUAAAGAGCCGUUGAAGACUACGACGUUGAUAGGUUGGAUGUGGAAGCAUAGCGAUAUGUGAAGCUGACCAAUACUAAUUGC
rnacentral:rRNA from 1 species